rnacentral:lncRNA from 1 species
AGGCAUGCACUUUAAUUAUUUCUUACGUUAGGAGUUUUCUUGGAAGCAGAUUGGCACCGGUUGACCUUGAAUGCUGAUGCUUAAAAAUUGCAUAAAUUCCACACAGGAAGUAACUAUGCAUUUUACCCUUUUUUUCUAAUUCUCAUGAGCUUCAAAUUUGCUACAUAUAUUACCCUUUUUUUUCUAAUUCUCAUGAGCUUCAAAUUUGCUACAUCCUUUAGAAGAUUAAUUUAUGACACUAAAUUAUGGGAAAGAUAACUUUUGGUUAUACCAAAACUAUGAGAGCAAAGGAUCAUACUUAUUGUGUUGUUUGGGCACCACUGCCAUUGAUAUAGUACAAUAUUGUAUCCAAUUUAUAGAUCCUUUUCUUUGAGAAUCUGUUGGAUGGGCCAUAUCUCACUCUGGCCAGUGAAUUGGUGUGAAACCACUAUAUUAAAUUCAACCUAUACUGCUGUAUCAAAGACUAUGAUCAUAUAACUUACCAUAUCAACUUUAACUUUAUGCCUUUUGACAUAUUCAUUUGUUAAAUAUCAUUAGUUCUUGUAAAUCUUAAGCAUCAAAUUUCUCUAGCCACCUGAAGCAUGGAUAAAGUAAUUAACCUUUCCCUUUUAUUUUACGAUCUCUGUAUAUUAACAUACUGUGCAUUAUGAACUUACACUGUGUUUGUUUCUCGUGUGCUUUUCUUGACAUUUUAUCAUCGGCAAAUCUUUCUUUGGUCCUAUCCCAGGCUGAAAUGGAAAAAAGGAGGCAUGAGAAGCAUCAGACUUCAUGUACUAUUUAAUAUUAGAUGUCAAUUCCCUUGUGCUGGUACAUAGUAAUCUUUACUUCAUACUGAACCUGGUUAUUCUACCUCUGUAGGGUUGCAAAUGAGCCCAGCCGAGCUGAGUACCAGGCUGCUUGGGCUUGGCUUGGCUUAUAAACAGGCCUCUUGAGCUUGUCUCGAACUUGGACUGGCUCAACAAAACUUGCUCAAGCUCGGCUUGUCUAAGCUUCGAGCCAAGCUUUAGUCAAGCUGAAUUGGGCCUGUCCAUUGUAUUUGAACAAGCCCCAUGUUCAGGCUUUGCUCAUUUAUGAGCCAAGCUCUGAAAUGUGUUUAAUCUCAGCUCGUUUCCUAGUUGAGCUGAGCUCGUACAAGCUGAUUGCGCGAGCAGCUUGAUUCAUUUGCACCCGAGCCAAGCUCUGAAAUGUGUUUAAUCUCAGCUCGUUUCCUAGUUGAGCUGAGCUCGAACAAGCUGAUUGCGCGAGCAGCUUGAUUCAUUUGCACCCCUAUACUGCUGUAUCAAAGACUAUGAUCAUAUAACUUACCAUAUCAACUUUAACUUUAUGCCUUUUGACAUAUUCAUUUGUUAAAUAUCAUUAGUUCUUGUAAAUCUUAAGCAUCAAAUUUCUCUAGCCACCUGAAGCAUGGAUAAAGUAAUUAACCUUUCCCUUUUAUUUUACGAUCUCUGUAUAUUAACAUACUGUGCAUUAUGAACUUACACUGUGUUUGUUUCUCGUGUGCUUUUCUUGACAUUUUAUCAUGCAGGG